GCGGAGCGCGCCCGGUCGCCCUCGUCCUCGCCGCGUCCUCCGAGGGGCGCGAUUUGCGGAUGCGGACGCUGAGGGUCAGAGAAGGAAAUGGAUUUUCCAGGUCUCCCUGUGACUCAGGGCUCCGGGUUCCUGCUGCCUCCCGACGGGAGCGCUGCGAGAGCCCGUGGCCUGUUGCACACCGAGCGCCGUGCACGAAUAGGCGUGCAAUACCUUGUUUUUCGUGAGUGAAGAACCUUUAGGGAAUUCGAUUUCGAGGGAGGGACUUCUCAAAGAGACAAAGUCCCCUAGAGGUGCGUUCUGUGCAACUAGUGCGCUCGGUUGACCCCUAACGAAGUUGCCAUGAUCGCAGGAAGUGCCAUAUAUGGACACGGUAAACACGAUGCGAGAAAAGGAUACGUUUGAGAGAUGUCUGGGCCUUCCUUUUCUGGAUUGUUUCCUCACGCCCAAGUCAGGAGGUCACUCCUGGAGGUUACUGAAAGGCAUUUCGUUUACUCAUUAACAACUAAUUGCUGUUGUCAUUUCACUGGAUACACCUGACGAUGUCUUGCAACACAGCCUACACAAGGAGGACCUUCCUAAAUGGAAGCUAGUGUUUUAUUCAUCAGCAAACAUCAGCCAGCUACCAUGCGGCUAGGGACAAGGAGCACAAAAUAAGUGACAGCUACAGCUUUUCACAGCUACAGUUAACUGGAUGAAACAGACAUGAACAACCGACAAUGAUACAGUGAUGGAGAGAAAUGGGGAGAUCUCAGAAGAGUCACAGAAGACCUUGAUCUAGGGUUCCAGUUUGUUGGGCAAAGAGAUGGGGAAGGACAUUGCAGACAGAGGGAACAGUGUGUGCAAAGGCAUGAAAACGAAUGUAUUUUCUAGCACAGUUUUCAGUGUAAGUGCAGUCACAUAGCUGCUCUAUUUUCUGUCCUUACAUCUUAUUCCAUUAAAAGUUGGUAAAGAUGGUAAGAAGAUACUUGCCCACUUAAAAGUCAUCAGGCACUAUUUUGUUCUAAGGCCGUGGGCCAGCCCUUAUAUUGAACUUAAGGUGUACCUUGAUAUCCCUUUCAUCGUGUGUCGGAUCCGUCAAAAAUACUAUCUUCUAAAGCGAUCUGGAACAAAUAGAUGGGAAAUUUCAAACAACUCUGCAGAGACAAGAGAUGAAAUUCGGUGAAUCUCUUUAAGUAUCCUCUUUGCCAUGACUUUACAAAGAGCAGUUUUGACCCUGCUCUCUACAUAGGACCUGGCAGCUGAUUUUAUUUCUCCCGAAUGUAUCACUUCCUUGUGUCACUGUUAUUGGGCAUUUGAAACAUUUUUCUAGUGGGGAAAGAAAAUCUCUGUUUGGAUCUGACUACAAUAGUUCUUAACCUGUUUUUGAGCCCCAGACCUCUUUGGAGAAUCUGAUGGAAACAGUGGACCCUUUCCCCAGAAAAACUCAUAUGAGGAAAUACACACCAAAUUUUACGUCUGGUUUCAGUGGAUUCGUGAUCUGAAACCAAUUUGUGGAUCCUGUAAGGUCCCAAAGCCCCUAGCUUGAGAACUCCUGAUCUAAAGGAAAUGAUCAAGCAAAUGACAUUGGGAAUGUCCCCUCUGUAUUUGCUGAGGAGCCAGCACAGUAGCACCCCUUCUGAAGGCAGCGGCUAUGCUGCAAAGAGGGCAGCUAUGACCCACACAGACCCACGCUCUACCCUGACUCCACCACAUUACCUGCUGGUGCCAGAGCAAGUUAAUUAAAUUCUCCAAACCUCACUUUGCUCAUCUGUAAAAUGGAGAUAAUAAUGCCUCUCACCCAAAGUUAGUGGUUUGAAUGGAAAGUUAGAGGUUUAAAUUACAUCGUGGAUAUAGAUUUAGCAGUCCAAUACAGCAGGCACUCGGUAAAUGGUAGUUCUUAUUAGUAUGUGUAAAAUGCGUGUGCAAGUCUUUGCUCCAACACCUACGAGUGCUAUUCCCCUAGGGAAAUGUUUGGGAUAUUGCGCUGGGGAUUUCUGGGGGGGAAUGGACAGCUAUAACAAAUAGCCCUUGAGAGCACAUUGCUCACCUGAGCUGGUGCCUCUGAGGCCAGUGGCCAGAUCAGAUUAACCUUUAAGGUCUCUUCUACAUCUAGGAUCAAGGCUUCCAUUGCUUUUCACCUGAACGUGAAGUUUUUAAAACAAUUGGAUGUACAAAAGUGUGAUUAAUUAGUACAUUUA
ensembl:lncRNA